rnacentral:rRNA from 1 species
ACAAUACUCCGAGAACUGAAAGGCUUUUUGAAGUCUUCGGAUGGAUAGAAGAACCCCUGAUGCCGUCGAGCCAAGAAAAGUUUCUAAGUUUAGCUAAUGUUGCCCGUACCGUAAACCGACACAGGUGGGUGGGAUGAGUAUUCUAAGGCGCGUGGAAGAACUCUCUUUAAGGAACUCUGCAAAAUAGCACCGUAUCUUCGGUAUAAGGUGUGGUUAGCUUCGUACUAGGAUUUACUCCGAAAGCGAAGAAACUUACAACAAAGAGUCCCUCCCGACUGUUUACCAAAAACACAGCACUCUGCUAACUCGUAAGAGGAUGUAUAGGGUGUGACGCCUGCCCGGUGCUCGAAGGUUAAUUGAUGGGGUUAGCAUUAGCGAAGCUCUUGAUCGAAGCCCGAGUAAACGGCGGCCGUAACUAUAACGGUCCUAAGGUAGCGAAAUUCCUUGUCGGUUAAAUACCGACCUGCAUGAAUGGCGUAACGAGAUGGGAGCUGUCUCAAAGAGGGAUCCAGUGAAAUUGUAGUGGAGGUGAAAAUUCCUCCUACCCGCGGCAAGACGGAAAGACCCCGUGGACCUUUACUACAGCUUGACACUGCUACUUGGAUAAGAAUGUGCAGGAUAGGUGGGAGGCUUUGAGUAUAUGACGCCAGUUGUAUAUGAGCCAUUGUUGAGAUACCACUCUUUCUUAUUUGGGUAGCUAACCAGCUUGAGUUAUCCUCAAGUGGGACAAUGUCUGGUGGGUAGUUUGACUGGGGCGGUCGCCUCCCAAAUAAUAACGGAGGCUUACAAAGGUUGGCUCAGAACGGUUGGAAAUCGUUCGUAGAGUAUAAAGGUAUAAGCCAGCUUAACUGCAAGACAUACAAGUCAAGCAGAGACGAAAGUCGGUCUUAGUGAUCCGGUGGUUCUGUGUGGAAGGGCCAUCGCUCAAAGGAUAAAAGGUACCCCGGGGAUAACAGGCUGAUCUCCCCCAAGAGCUCACAUCGACGGGGAGGUUUGGCACCUCGAUGUCGGCUCAUCGCAUCCUGGGGCUGGAGCAGGUCCCAAGGGUAUGGCUGUUCGCCAUUUAAAGCGGUACGCGAGCUGGGUUCAGAACGUCGUGAGACAGUUCGGUCCCUAUCUGCCGUGGGCGUAAGAAGAUUGAAGAGAUUUGACCCUAGUACGAGAGGACCGGGUUGAACAAACCACUGGUGUAGCUGUUGUUCUGCCAAGAGCAUCGCAGCGUAGCUAAGUUUGGAAAGGAUAAACGCUGAAAGCAUCUAAGCGUGAAGCCAACUCUAAGAUGAAUCUUCUCUAAGCUCUCUAGAAGACUACUAGUUUGAUAGGCUGGGUGUGUAAUGGAUGAAAGUCCUUUAGCUGACCAGUACUAAUAGAGCGUUUGGCUUAUCUUU